ACUUAGCUGGUUAAAGCACCUGUCUAGUAAAUAGGAAAUCUGGGUUUGAAUCCCAG
rnacentral:tRNA from 1 species